GCAGGUGUGGUGAAUGUUGUGGUUCUUUGUUCUCGUGUUUUGUUGAAAAUUGUAGUGUGAGACUGUAACAAAGUGUGAGGUGAUAAGUGUUGUGGUUUAUUAUAAUCAAUGUGUUGGUGAAAUAAUUAAAAUAUGAAGUUAAAGUGUUGUGAGAAAAUGUUUGACCAGUUGUUCAGGAAUGACGUCACAGACAGCGUGUGGUGGUUCGUUGGCUGACGGUGAGUUACCUGCCUUACGCCUUCGGAAGAACAAAGCUGAAGAGUUUCUACUCAGGCCGUCCAGUUAUGGAGGCAGCCAUGGUUCUUGACGCUAGGGAAACUCUGGCGUUGGAUUCAGCCCGCAGA